rnacentral:piRNA from 1 species
GAAGCAUAAUUUUUUGAUACCUGG